rnacentral:rRNA from 1 species
UGGGGAAUAUUGCGCAAUGGGCGAAAGCCUGACGCAGCGACGCCGCGUGAGGGACGAAGGCCUUCGAGUUGUAAACCUCUUUCAGCAGGGAAGAAGCGAGAGUGACGGUACCUGCAGAAGAAGCACCGGCUAACUACGUGCCAGCAGCCGCGGUAAUACGUAGGGUGCAAGCGUUGUCCGGAAUUAUUGGGCGUAAAGAGCUCGUAGGCGGUCUGUCGCGUCUGCUGUGAAAACUCGGGGCUUAACCCCGGGCCUGCAGUGGGUACGGGCAGACUAGAGUGCGGUAGGGGAGACUGGAAUUCCUGGUGUAGCGGUGAAAUGCGCAGAUAUCAGGAGGAACACCGGUGGCGAAGGCGGGUCUCUGGGCCGUAACUGACGCUGAGGAGCGAAAGCAUGGGGAGCGAAC